rnacentral:tRNA from 1 species
GCUGAGUUAGUUUAAAAAAAAUAACAAUUUGUGGAAUUGUUGAUGAAUUUUCACUAAGCU